CCUGGUUGAUCCUGCCAGUAGUCAUAUGCUUGUCUCAAAGAUUAAGCCAUGCAUGUCUAAGUUCAAGCGAAAAUAAAGUGAAACCGCGAAUGGCUCAUUACAUCAGUUAUGGUUCCUUAGAUUGUACUAACUACUUGGAUAACUGUGGUAAUUCUAGAGCUAAUACAUGCGCUGGGCUCCGACCUGUGAAGGAAGGGGCGCUUUUAUUAGAUCAAAGCCAAUCGGGGUUUCGGCUCCGUAUUUCUGGUGACUCUGAAUAACAUUGCUGAUCGUACGGCCUUGUGCCGACGACGAGUCUCUCAAGUGUCUGCCUUAUCAACUGUCGAUGGUAGGUUAUGCGCCUACCAUGGUUGUAACGGGUAACGGGGAAUCAGGGUUCGAUUCCGGAGAGGGAGCCUGAGAAACGGCUACCACAUCCAAGGAAGGCAGCAGGCGCGCAAUUACCCACUCCCGGCACGGGGAGGUAGUGACGAAAAAUAACGAUACGGGACUCUUAUGAGGCUCCGUAAUCGGAAUGAGUACUCUUUAAAUCCUUUAACGAGGAUCUAUUGGAGGGCAAGUCUGGUGCCAGCAGCCGCGGUAAUUCCAGCUCCAAUAGCGUAUAUUAAAGUUGUUGCGGUUAAAAAGCUCGUAGUUGGAUCUCGGUUUCACUCAGGCGGUACACCUUGCGGUGUUCACUGUCUGGGUGGACGUUUCUGUUGGUUCGCUCUUGGUGCUCUUCAUUGGGUGCCAUUUGGUGGCCAGCACGUUUACUUUGAAAAAAUUGGAGUGCUCAAAGCAGGCGUUACAGCCUGAACAUCACUGCAUGGAAUAAUGGAAUAGGAUCUCGAUUCUAUUUCGUUGGCUUUCGGAGUCGAGGUAAUGAUUAAUAGGGACAGACGGGGGCAUUCGUACUGCGACGUAGAGGUGAAAUUCUUGGAUCGUCGCAAGACGAACUACUGCGAAAGCAUUUGCCAAGAAUGUUUUCAUUAAUCAAGAACGAAAGUUAGAGGUUCGAAGGCGAUCAGAUACCGCCCUAGUUCUAACCAUAAACGAUACCAACCGGCGAUCCGUCGUCGUUAAUUGAAUGACUCGACGGGCAGCCUCCGGGAAACCAGAGUGUUUGGGUUCCGGGGGAAGUAUGGUUGCAAAGCUGGAACUUAAAGGAAUUGACGGAAGGGCACCACCAGGAGUGGAGCCUGCGGCUUAAUUUGACCCAACACGGGAAAUCUCACCAGGCCCGGACACCGGAAGGAUUGACAGAUUGAGAGCUCUUUCUUGAUUCGGUGGGUGGUGGUGCAUGGCCGUUCUUAGUUGGUGGAGCGAUUUGUCUGGUUAAUUCCGAUAACGAACGAGACUCUGGCCUACUAACUAGAAGGUCUAUCCUUUAUGGGUAGGCCUCUGCUUCUUAGAGGGACGGGCGGCGUUUAGCCGCACGAGAAUGAGCAAUAACAGGU
rnacentral:rRNA from 1 species